CGUGGCAACAACGGUAACACCAGUGCUUGCUCCGUGGAGGCAGCAGGAUCAGCGCUCAAGACAUAGUGCAUCCAAGGUCCACCUGAGCUAGUGGGACCUUAUCUCAGUUCUUCAUCUGGAGAAACUGCUCUUUUUUAUUUUCUGCCACUGAAGAAAGCAACUGCUGCAGGCGAGGAGUUGGGAGCAGCAGCGGGAACUCUUACCUUCUGGCCGUUCUUUCUCUUGACUACUCGGGAGCUUCCCCUUGCUCACGUGGUCCCAGCCUCGCGUCUGAACCUUCGGCACAAUGUCUAUUGGCAGGUCAAUCGUCCUUAGUCAAGAGGUCCCCUCUCAGUCACUGGCUCACUAGGCCAGGCUUUAGGACCGCUCUGUGUGAGUCUCAGCUCUCAUGUGACUCACAAGUACUCGGUGAGCAAGGGCCACUGACUUGGGUUGUUAUCAGUUACUCCAACUUUGCAUAAAUAAGGCUUCCAGGGUUAGCCAAACAGCCGAAGCAGUGGCUGUCACCCUUCCUAACUCCGCAACCCCUUAAUGCCGCUCCUCGUGCUGUGGUGACCCCAACCAUACAAUUGCUUCCAUCUCUACUUCACGGCUGUAAUUUUGCUCCUGGCAGCUUUCGGUGCUCCCGAACACCUCACACGGGCGGCUGCUGUCAGUCUUGACAUGGCUUUCCUUACUCAGCCCAUAUCGCUUUGUUUCAACUGUCUUGCAUCCCUUGAGAACCCGUGCGGGCCCUUAUUUCCAACUCUUUGGACCAGAGGUUAAGAACCUAGAGACAUAUGCCCCAGAUGCCAACGGCUGGAAACACUUGUGUUGCUGCAUCAGUCUGGUAGGGCAGUGAGCCGGCCGCCGAGGCCUCCCUGUGAGGAACGCAAUGCGGAGGAAAAAAGGAUAUGUAUUUGGAUUAUCUGCCGGACAAUGUGAAACCACCCUGAACACGUUCCUGUUUUGAAGUCCUACAUCAGAUCCAAAGGUCCGCAAAGGGUCACCGGGGGCACACUCGAAGUGACCCCCUCGGGGCGUGUCCAGAGAUCACUAGAAAAUGAAAAGUGACCUUGGCUGUAGCUAUUGCUUUACUUGAGCAGUUUAAGGAACACAUCUGGGGUCCAUCACAGCUUCAGCCAAAUCCUGCCUACGGGUUUUCAUAACUGACUCCGAAUGAAUCGUGUGUCCGUAUGUCAGGGCGGGGCCCUCAUCUCUGUCUUUGUCGCUGACGAGGGAGACGGCUGUAGGGGGCAUCCUCUCUCUUAUGUCUUGCCAGGACGUGCAAAGAUUCAUCGCUGGUCUAGAACAGCCAGUUGUUUACACUGAUAAUUCCUUGAAGGCUCUUGAAGUGCUACAUUUCAUUGUGUCCCAGGACUUGCUUCCUCCGUUCUUAAUUAGGGGGAUUACUGCUUGGAGAAAAACGAGUGUUUUUAUUUGCAAGAGGAAUUAUAAUAAAUCUUACAAAUUUAAACCAGGAAUCAAAGCCCCACAGAGUCUGGAGGAAAUCAAAGGACUGUAAAAUCUCACUCAUUCCUUUUCCCCUGGGCAGCCUGACUCUUCUAAUGUCAGCCAGCCUCCGUCUGUCUGUCUGCACUCUCGCCGUGAUGGGCCGAGCUCUGCAGACAUGCGAGAUGAAACAUCACACUGUACAUUGCUAAUGAGGCAUGCAGCAUGCCAGCGCUUACAAAUAUUUAAUGUGCUGCAGGGGAGAAGGUCUUUAUUAGACACCUUGGAGUUCAUCAGCUUCCAGGAUUAAACAUCCUAGAAACUUGUAUCCAAUCGAAGAAUUAAUUUUUCAGAACUCCCAAUUAAAGGGUGACAAGGAACUUGCGGAAUUCAAUAUGAUGGGAACUGGAGGGCUUCCUGGAAAUGAGGACUGAUUUCUGGUUGCAAAGAGCCAGUUUCCUAUCGUGUCUGUGACCAGAUAGUCAGUUUUUGAGAAAAGAGCAUGGUCUAAGAAUGUGUACCAAAUGACUGACGCCAUUGGAGGAAACAAACCGUGUGCCUACCGUGGUCUCCAUCAGCAGAGCUGAGCACGUGACAAACAACCUUGCUCCGCCUACGUGGUCACUCUGUGUUCAGUUCACGAUGCUCCAGAACGUGUUACGUUUUCCUCCCAGGACUCUGGCCAUACCUGUGGUCAUGGGAUACACUGGAAGAACCCCUUCCCUAGAACUGCGUGUGCUCAACGAAGUCUUUCUUCAGGGAUGUUUGGCAAAUAACCAAUUAGUCGGCAAUGACCAUGAAGUUAGAGAGAGAAGAAGAUGUUUCCUAGGUUUUAACUUACAUUGUCUCUCAGGAAGUAAAAUAAAUGGAGUAUGGACAUACUGUUGAAGCCGGCGGCAGCUGUGACCACAGGACUCAGCGGCAAAUGUUGAAGACCCUUGCAAGUGGUGCGAUUUAUCCGUCGCACAUUGAUGGAGCGCUCCGUCCUUCAGCCUACCGUGGUAGAGUAUGUCAGAGAGUAAUGCAAGGGGAUGAUUCUUUCAGACUCUUCUUAGGGCAGAGUACAGUCAUAUAAUCUGGUACUUAGAAGAGACACUCUGGACAAUUUAUGUGCCCAAGAAUCAGAACUGGCUUAUUCAUGGCUUCUCAGGGAAGCCAUGCAUUUAAAGAGACAAUUACUGCAACGGGUGAUAAAACACUGCUGCCAGCAGAAAAUGUUAUUUUAGAAAAGAUUUCAAAAGAAUUCCUUACCCACGCCCUGGGUGACAACAUGUUUAAGACGGCAAAACCACACAUGCUCUCCCCUUAUCUUCAGGGUUGUGUCCUGUCUACAGAAACGUCUGCGAACAGCAACGCCUUCCUUGGAGUCGAUAGAGUUGAUCUUCCCCUGGUUGGUAAAAAGCACGAAUCCAUUGUGGCAAAAGCUGACAGAAUGCAGUCUUGCCGUCAGCCCUGUCUCCAGAGACCAGCGUGAACAUACAAGAUGGCUUUUUUAUGUGUGACUUUAGGACCUACAGUGGUGACUCAGAGGCCAGGGGAGAGCAGGCUCUGGGAGCGACUCCCUUCGAAGUCUGAAUGGGAGGAGGAUGAAUGGCUGGUGAAGUCACACUGCAGAUGACAAUUUCCCGUGGGUGGGUUAUAAAAAGCGCGCUGGCAAAUUCUGUGCAAGGUGUGCUGGAGACGAGACGCCGGAAGGCAAUGUGCCUGCUUCCAAAGCCAUCCAUCAGGGAAAAGUACCUCCCAACGGAGGACACUAUGUCUAGGGCAAGUUGGAGUGCGCAUUAAAUGUGCCUUCCUGGUGAUCAGCGAACGGUUUAUGCAUAUGAAAUAUGUAAAUGUCAGUCACAGGUGCUUAAUGAGGUCAAGUUUGGUGGCCAGAUUCCUUCGAGCCUCGAGGUCUGGGUAUGGAUCCUUCUGGAAGUCUUGUCCCAGUUGCCAUGGCUGUCCCCAUCUGUCCCCCUCCUCAAGGAGAUCCGGGGUCUCAGGGGACAGAGCUGCUCCCAUCUUCUCCGUCGUUCUCUGAGGACCGAGGGUUUUGGAGGAUGUCCUGGAACUAGCUCUCAUAAUCCACGCUGGUCUCAAACUCGCCUGUUGGCCGUUUCUUUGCCGCGCAGUCGUUCAUGUUUGUUUACUGUGAGACUUUUCCAUCACCUCUCAAAUCCUUUGACGGGUGACGUGUGCUUUGCUGUGGAUGCUUUGUGCCUUCUGAAUGAAUAGAUUUGGGAGCCUGGGAGUCAUUGUAGGCAUUUCUUCAAGGGCCCCCAAAGCUAAAAUUUCAAAUCGUCUUAUUUUAUACCUUAUAAGAGCUUUACGGUCCUGGAUGUUUUUGAACCAUAUGCCCUCUUUUCUAUUUCUUUGCCUGUUAGAGCUUUCCAUACCCAUUUUAAUGAGGGGAGGGUAGCUGGUUAUGGUUUGGAUGGGACAUAUCGUCCCCAAAGGUUCAGGUGUUGGACACUUGGUCUCCAGUUGGCAGCACUGUUUUGAUGUGUUCUGGAAACUUUAGGAAGCAUGACCUAACUAGAGAAAGUAUGUUGAAGGAAGUUUCUGUCCCACCCGGUCCCGAAGCAGCUUAAUCCCAAAUAAACACACAGAGGCUUUUAUUAAUUAUAAA